GAUGAACGCUGGCGGCGUGCCUAAUAUAUGCAAGUCGAGCGAAUGGAUUAAGAGCUUGCUCCUAUGAAGUUAGCGGCGGACGGGUGAGUAACACGUGGGUAACCUGCCCAUAAGACUGGGAUAACUCCGGGAAACCGGGGCUAAUACCGGAUAACAUUUUGAACCGCAUGGUUCGAAAUUGAAAGGCGGCUUCGGCUGUCACUUAUGGAUGGACCCGCGUCGCAUUAGCUAGUUGGUGAGGUAACGGCUCACCAAGGCAACGAUGCGUAGCCGACCUGAGAGGGUGAUCGGCCACACUGGGACUGAGACACGGCCCAGACUCCUACGGGAGGCAGCAGUAGGGAAUCUUCCGCAAUGGACGAAAGUCUGACGGAGCAACGCCGCGUGAGUGAUGAAGGCUUUCGGGUCGUAAAACUCUGUAGUUAGGGAAGAACAAGUGCUAGUUGAAUAAGCUGGCACCUUGACGGUACCUAACCAGAAAGCCACGGCUAACUACGUGCCAGCCGCCGCAGUAA
rnacentral:rRNA from 1 species